AGCGAACGCUGGCGGCAGGCUUAACACAUGCAAGUCGAGCGGGCAUAGCAAUAUGUCAGCGGCGGACGGGUGAGUAACGCGUGGGAACGUACCUUUUGGUUCGGAACAACACAGGGAAACUUGUGCUAAUACCGGAUAAGCCCUUACGGGGAAAGAUUUAUCGCCGAAAGAUCGGCCCGCGUCUGAUUAGCUAGUUGGUGAGGUAAUGGCUCACCAAGGCGACGAUCAGUAGCUGGUCUGAGAGGAUGAUCAGCCACAUUGGGACUGAGACACGGCCCAAACUCCUACGGGAGGCAGCAGUGGGGAAUAUUGGACAAUGGGCGCAAGCCUGAUCCAGCCAUGCCGCGUGAGUGAUGAAGGCCCUAGGGUUGUAAAGCUCCUUUGUGCGGGAAGAUAAUGACGGUACCGCAAGAAUAAGCCCCGGCUAACUUCGUGCCAGCCGCCGCGGUAA
rnacentral:rRNA from 1 species